UACAGAGGUCUCAAGCGUUGUUCGGAUUCAUUGGGCGUAAAGCGCGUGUAGGCGGCCCGGUAAGUCCGCUGUAAAAGUCCAGGGCUCAACCCUGGAAAGCCGGUGGAUACUGUCGGGCUCGAGUCCGGAAGAGGCGAGUGGAAUUCCUGGUGUAGCGGUGAAAUGCGCAGAUAUCAGGAGGAACACCAAUGGCGAAGGCAGCUCGCUGGGACGGUACUGACGCUGAGACGCGAAAGCGUGGGGAGCAAACAGG
rnacentral:rRNA from 1 species